rnacentral:rRNA from 1 species
CUGACUGCUAUCGGAUUGAUACUAAGCCAUGCGAGUCAUUGUAGUAAUACAAGGCAGACGGCUCAGUAACGCGUAGUCAACCUAACCUAUGGACGGGAAUAACCUCGGGAAACUGAGUAUAAUGCCCGAUAGAACAUUAUGCCUGGAAUGGUUUAUGUUCCAAAUGAUUUAUCGCCGUAGGAUGGGACUGCGGCCUAUCAGUUUGUUGGUGAGGUAAUGGCCCACCAAGACUAUUACAGGUACGGGCUCUGAGAGGGGUAGCCCGGAGAUGGGUACUGAGACACGGACCCAGGCCCUAUGGGGCGCAGCAGGCGAGAAAACUUUGCAAUGUGCGAAAGCACGACAAGGUUAAUCCGAGUGGUUUCUGCUAAAGGAACCUUUUGUCGGUCCUAGAAACACCGAUGAAUAAGGGGUGGGCAAGUUCUGGUGUCAGCCGCCGCGGUAAAACCAGCACCUCAAGUGGUCAGGAUGAUUAUUGGGCCUAAAGCAUCCGUAGCCGGCUCUGUAAGUUUUCGGUUAAAUCUGUACGCUCAACGUACAGGCUGCCGGGAAUACUGCAGAGCUAGGGAGUGGGAGAGGUAGACGGUACUCGUAGGAGGGGUAAAAUCCUUUGAUCUAUUGAUGACCACCUGUGGCGAAGGCGGUCUACCAGAACACGUCCGACGGUGAGGGAUGAAAGCUGGGGGAGCAAACCGGAUUAGAUACCCGGGUAGUCCCAGCUGUAAACUAUGCAAACUCAGUGAUGCAUUGGC